CACCCGUCCCGGGAGAAUCCGGCCCCCGCCGGUGCCGAAGGAGCAACCGCCCCGGUAAACUCUCAGGCCUCAGGACCGCGGACGGAAC
rnacentral:ncRNA from 2 species